rnacentral:rRNA from 1 species
GCCAGACUCCUACGGGAGGCAGCAGUGGGGGAUAUUGCACAAUGGGGGGAACCCUGAUGCAGCGACGCCGCGUGGGUGAUGGAGUAUUUCGGUAUGUAAAGCCCUCUCGGCAGGGAAGAAGCAAGACGGUACCUGACUAAGAAGCCCCGGCUAACUACGUGCCAGCAGCCGCGGGAAUACGUAGGGGGCGAGCGUUAUCCGGAUCCACUGGGUGUAAAGGGAGCGUAGACGGCCAUGCAAGCCAGGGGGGAAAGCCCGGGGGCCAACCCCGGGACUGCCCUUGGAACUGUGCGGCUAGAGUGCGGGAGGGGCAGGCGGAAUUCCUGGUGUAGCGGUGAAAUGCGUAGAUAUCGGGAAGAACACCGAUGGCGAAGGCAGCUCUCUGGGCCGUCACUGACGCUGAGGCGCGAAAGCUGGGGGAGCGAACAGGAUUAGAUACCCCCGUAAUU